rnacentral:rRNA from 1 species
AUUGAACGCUGGCGGCAGGCCUAACACAUGCAAGUCGAACGGUAACAGGGAUCAGCUUGCUGAUUCGCUGACGAGUGGCGGACGGGUGGGUAAUGUCUGGGAAACUGCCUGAUGGAGGGGGAUAACUACUGGAAACGGUAGCUAAUACCGCAUAACGUCGCAAGACCAAAGAGGGGGACCUUCGGGCCUCUUGCCAUCGGAUGUGCCCAGAUGGGAUUAGCUAGUAGGUGGGGUAACGGCUCACCUAGGCGACGAUCCCUAGCUGGUCUGAGAGGAUGACCAGCCACACUGGAACUGAGACACGGUCCAGACUCCUACGGGAGGCAGCAGUGGGGAAUAUUGCACAAUGGGCGCAAGCCUGAUGCAGCCAUGCCGCGUGUAUGAAGAAGGCCUUCGGGUUGUAAAGUACUUUCAGCGGGGAGGAAGGGAGUAAAGUUAAUACCUUUGCUCAUUGACGUUACCCGCAGAAGAAGCACCGGCUAACUCCGUG